ACAGUUUGUCACAUUUUCCAUUAAGACUAUUCUGAUAAUUCCAGAAUUCCAACACGGAAGGAAUUCCCCCUCCUGUAAACAUUUACCUCUUACUUUUUGAAGCAAUGGUUCUCAAAUUUUGCUGCAUAUUAAAAUCACCCAGGAAGGAACUGAGACAUCUAGAUUAUUCUAAACUACCCAGGGGAGUUCAGCCUGCAGCCAA
rnacentral:lncRNA from 1 species